UAUUCUGAAGCCAGACUUAGCUUUCCUAGGGCGUUACUGCUCCUCUCACUACAGAGAGAUUCCAAGUUUGUGGGCAGCUAUAAGGAGGGUGCCUCAUCACCCCCUUGUGACCUCAUCAAAAGCAAGAGAUGACAUCAGCAGCUUGGGCUGUGGAAAAAACUGGAUUCCGGACUGACUGACCAACUCUCCCAGAGGUGGGAUGAAGAACUCAGAACUCCUCUCCCAAGGAAUAAAAACAGACUAGAGAUAAGCAAUAGAAAUCUGCACCUCUCCAAUGGGACAAAACUUCUGGAAUUCGGGGAGAAUAAUCUGAAGUGCUCAAUUGCCAUCUGGGCAGACAACAUGAGAACCAACCAAGAUGACUGAAAUCUUUGCAGCUGACAUUCCUCCAAAUAAAAUGACCACCCCACUUGCAAAUGAAAAGCACAUUUCAACAUGCUUCCUCUCAACAUUAAAGGUAUCAUUGCCAACAGAGGAAAAGCAGUGCACAGUAACCAAGUGGUCUUGUAAAUCCUUGUUGAUUUUAAGGACGGCCGAAGAUUGCCUUCUUUGGUAGUAUUAAUGCAAGCAUGCCAGACAAAAGAUGUAGGCUAUGUGGAUGUACAGCCAGACCUCAUGGGCUCACCUUGCGUUUUCCUGGAACCAUAGAAUGUUAGUGCUGAGAUGAACCAUCCAACAACCUCACCAUAACGAUGGAGCCUCGGAGAAGCUGAAUGGCUAAUGCAAGGUCACCCAGCUAAUCGAGGACAGAAAUGAAACCAGACCCCAGCUCUACUAGCUCCUAGACCAGUGUUUUUUAAUAUCUCAUCUUUCUGAUGCCUCAGAAGAAUACAUGGUUCUGAAGAUAUUUAUUAAGUCAGUCAUGCUCUAAAUUCCCACAUGGACUUCCCCAGCCUGUAUUUGGUGGGAGCCAUAAGUCAUGAUCUUCUAGGUCUAAAAUCAAUGAACUGAAGACAUCCACCACAAAGCCAUUUAAAAUGGCUUCUUUCUGCAUCCCAGAGUAUGGUAUGCACUCCUCUCCCAUAUGCUAUCUCUUCUCCAGGGCUGGGAAUAUACCCUAAGACCUCCUUGUGUGAAGGAAAACAGACCCCAGCUGUCCGGCCAUGCUGAGGCUCCAAUAUGGAUUUCAGCUGCUUCACUAUAGGGCUGCAUUCAAUGAAUUGCAUUUUUAAAAAAAUGUUUAAUAUCUACAUGGCUCUCACCCAACUGCAUUAAAAACACCAGCUGUACCAUGCUCUCUCCUCUAAUUUGACAGUUGUAAGAACAGCUCCUGAAGAACAGAACAUUCUUCGGGGGUUGGGCUGUUGGUUUUGCAGACAUUUUAGGAGGCUUAGAAGAUCAAACAGAUUUUAAGUUGCAAUGUCAUGUAGGGAAAUGGGUGGGAGGUGACAGAAGAAGGAAUCUGAUGUGCAUUGAAUGCCUGUCAUCUACCAGGCACUGGGUCGGGUAAGUUCUCAUGGCUGACUAUAGUUGGUUCUCACAAUACUGAGAUGAGUAUAAUAACCAAAAUUUUACAGAUGAAGAAACUGAUGCUUAGAAAGAUGAAGAGAUUUGCCCAAAGUCACACGAGUAAUUUGUUGUAUAACUGGUGUACUCAUUUCCUAGGGCUGUUGUACCAAAUUGCCAUAACGUUGGUGGCUUCACACAGCAGAAAUUUAUUCUCUGACUGCUCUCACACCCCUUGGCUUGCAGCUGUGUAACCCCAGUCUCUGCCUCUGUGGUCACAUCUCUUCUUCAUCCAUCUUUCCUCUGGGUGUCUCUUGCAAGGAUAUUUGUCAUUGGCUUUAGGGCCCAUGUACAUAAUCUAAGAUGAUCAUAUCCUGAGAUCUUUAGUCACAUCUACAAAGACCCAUUUUCCAAAUAAGGUCACAUUCACAAGUUCCAGGGUUAGGAUGGGGACAUGUAUCUUUUUUGGGGGGGAGGCACUACCCAACCCACUAUGGCUGGGUUGUAAAUUCAGGUCUAUCUUAUUCUAUAUCCUGUUUUCUCACUACAUUGUCAUGUUAUUUCCUGCCUUUUCUUCUCUUUUGCAAGGUUGACCUUGGCCAAGAUACAUAUUCCAAGGCAGCCACAGCCAUAGUAUUAAUAAGGCACACGAGCCCUAGAUUUCUCAGUUUUCCAGAGACUUAGUAACAGAGCUGAAGUUUAAGCUUCUGUCACACCUUGCUCUUGCCCUUGGAACCACAGAGGAGAUCUGCCCCUAACAGAUACCCUGGCAUUGCCUCCAAACAUCAAAGGUUGACUCCUUUGAAUAGUUCAGCUCUCCUUUUGCAGGAGUGAGAGAGUUAGCAGGUGUCAACUUAACCUACAGCCAUCCGCUAAUAGGUUUAAGAUAAAAGGCCAAUACAUUUAAAUAAGAUUCAGACAUAAUGUAAUAGUAUUUGUUACCAAGCCCCAUCUAAUUAUAUCAGUCAAUCUCUUAUUACCAGACCCAUAAGUGCAGAGGACUCUAUUAUAAUUUCUCUUUAUAAUGAUCUCCUCACUAUCUGACUCUUCGAACUCUGCAAUAAAUUAAUCAUCUGCUGGCAAUCAUGAGUAAACAUCAACUCAAUUAAGAAUUGAUAGCUAAACAGUUCGCUCCGAGGCUUGUGCUGAUAGAGGUGGGGGUGCCACUGGGCGCCGGCCGGAGCGAGCUGGCUGCGCAGUCCCGGGAUAUGGACGGGCGG